rnacentral:tRNA from 2 species
GGUGAGGUGUCCGAGUGGCUUAAGGAGCACGCUUGGAAAGCGUGUAUGCGGGAAACCGUAUCGUGGGUUCGAAUCCCACCCUCACCG